rnacentral:tRNA from 1 species
GCCUGGGUGGCUCAGUCAGUUGAGUGUCUGACUUCAGCUCAGGUCAUGAUCUCAUGGUUUGUGGGUUCAAGUCCCUCAUCAGACU